rnacentral:rRNA from 1 species
GAACGGGUGAGUAACACGUGAGUAACCUGCCCUUAACUCUGGGAUAAGCCUGGGAAACUGGGUCUAAUACCGGAUAUGACUCCUCAUCGCAUGGUGGGGGGUGGAAAGCUUUAUUGUGGUUUUGGAUGGACUCGCGGCCUAUCAGCUUGUUGGUGAGGUAAUGGCUCACCAAGGCGACGACGGGUAGCCGGCCUGAGAGGGUGACCGGCCACACUGGGACUGAGACACGGCCCAGACUCCUACGGGAGGCAGCAGUGGGGAAUAUUGCACAAUGGGCGAAAGCCUGAUGCAGCGACGCCGCGUGAGGGAUGACGGCCUUCGGGUUGUAAACCUCUUUCAGUAGGGAAGAAGCGAAAGUGACGGUACCUGCAGAAGAAGCGCCGGCUAACUACGUGCCAGCAGCCGCGGUAAUACGUAGGGCGCAAGCGUUAUCCGGAAUUAUUGGGCGUAAAGAGCUCGUAGGCGGUUUGUCGCGUCUGCCGUGAAAGUCCGGGGCUCAACUCCGGAUCUGCGGUGGGUACGGGCAGACUAGAGUGAUGUAGGGGAGACUGGAAUUCCUGGUGUAGCGGUGAAAUGCGCAGAUAUCAGGAGGAACACCGAUGGCGAAGGCAGGUCUCUGGGCAUUAACUGACGCUGAGGAGCGAAAGCAUGGGGAGCGAACAGGAUUAGAUACCCUGGUAGUCCAUGCCGUAAACGUUGGGCACUAGGUGUGGGGGACAUUCCACGUUUUCCGCGCCGUAGCUAACGCAUUAAGUGCCCCGCCUGGGGAGUACGGCCGCAAGGCUAAAACUCAAAGGAAU